rnacentral:misc_RNA from 1 species
UCAAACUUGGUCAUUUAGAGGAAGUAAAAGUCGUAACAAGGUUUCCGUAGGUGAACCUGCGGAAGGAUCAUUAACGUGUUCGUUCGGCCGUUCGGGUCGGCCCUGCACCGGCGGAGACGCCGUGCUGCGGGCUCCCGGGCGUGCCUUCCAAACCAAACCCCUGUGAACCUUUGGGAGGGCCGAGCCCCCGCUCCGGCGGGUGUGCGACGCCGUCCCCUUUACAAACUCUUUCGUAUCAUAGAAUGACUGCGGACCUCGUCCGCCUAAACACAUAACAACUUUCAACAACGGAUCUCUUGGCUCUCGCAUCGAUGAAGAACGCAGC